rnacentral:rRNA from 1 species
CCUACGGGUGGCAGCAGUGGGGAAUAUUGGACAAUGGGGGGAACCCUGAUCCAGCCAUGCCGCGUGUGUGAAGAAGGCCCUCGGGUUGUAAAGCACUUUCAGUGAGGAAGAACGCCUGGUGGUUAAUACCCAUCAGGAAAGACAUCACUCACAGAAGGAGCACCGGCUAACUCCGUGCCAGCAGCCGCGGUAAUACGGAGGGUGCGAGCGUUAAUCGGAAUUACUGGGCGUAAAGCGCGCGUAGGUGGCUUGAUAAGCCGGUUGUGAAAGCCCCGGGCUCAACCUGGGAACGGCAUCCGGAACUGUCAAGCUAGAGUGCAGGAGAGGAAGGUAGAAUUCCCGGUGUAGCGGUGAAAUGCGUAGAGAUCGGGAGGAAUACCAGUGGCGAAGGCGGCCUUCUGGACUGACACUGACACUGAGGUGCGAAAGCGUGGGUAGCAAACAGGAUUAGAUACCCUAGUAGUC